CACAUAACCGGCGAAACGAAGUUAUUGAAAUAUUUAAAACUUUUUGGAUACUGAAAAUUCAGCAACGGAGGCACUCCUUCUCUAAAGGAUGAGGGUGGGUUGUUGGAGAGUUGUGAGUGCCGUGCUGAAUUUUCACUGUCCUUCGCAGUUCAAGCCUCUUUAUUGCAGAGUAAGUAAUAAUUCUAUGUUUGAUUUAUUAAUUGUCGCUCUUUUUAAUCUGUAUUCUUUCUCAUUUUUAGGGAAUGAUUAUGGCGAGUAGAAAGGCCAAACCAGUGGAAGGAAGAGAAUCCUUACUCAGAAAAUCGAAUGAAGGAAGCACAAAACCGCGGAAACGAAGAAAUUGAAAUAUUUAAAACUGUUUGGAUACUGAAAAUUCAGCAACGGAGGCACUCCUUCUCUAUAGGAUGAGGGUGGGUUGUUGGAGAGUUGUGAGUGCCGUGCUGAAUUUUCACAGUUCUUCGCAGUUCAAGCAUCUUUCCUGCAGA